CCCUUAGAUGUUCUGGGCCGCACGCGUGCUACACUGAGUGGAUCAGCGGGUCAGGUUGCGCGAAAGUGUUUCCUAAUCUUGAAAUCCGCUCGUGAUGGGGAUUGACGGUUGCAAUUUUCCGUCAUGAACGAGGAAUACCUUGUAAGCGCGGGUCAUCAUCCCGCGCUGAAUACGUCCCUGCCCUUUGUACACACCGCCCGUCGCUCCUACCGAUCGAGUGGUCCGGUGAGGCUUUGGGAUCUGAGCGGAAAGAGCGUUUCGCUGUUUCUGCUCGGAAAACUCAGUCGAACCUUAUCAUUUAGAGGAAGGAGAAGUCGUAACA
rnacentral:rRNA from 1 species